AUUGAACGCUGGCGGCAGGCCUAACACAUGCAAGUCGAGCGGAGCGGCGGACGGGUGAGUAAUGCCUAGGAAUCUGCCUGGUAGUGGGGGAUAACGUCCGGAAACGGGAGCUAAUACCGCAUACUCUCAGAUGAGCCUAGUUCGGAUUAGCUGGUUGGUGGGGUAAAGGCCUACCAAGGCGACGCUCCGUAACUGGUCUGAGAGGAUGAUCAGUCACACUGGAACUGAGACACGUUCCAGAAUCCGACGGGAGGCAGCAGUUGGGAAGAUUGGACAAUGGGCGAAUGCCUGAUCCAGCCCUGCCGCGUGUGUGAAGAAGGUCUUCGGAUUGGAAAGCACUUUAAGUUGGGAGGCGUUACCAACAGAAUAAGCACCGGCUAACUUCGUGCCAGCCGCCGCGGUAAUAC
rnacentral:rRNA from 1 species